rnacentral:rRNA from 1 species
AUUGAACGCUGGCGGCAUGCCUUACACAUGCAAGUCGAACGGCAGCACGGGGCAACCUGGUGGCGGGUGGCGAACGGGUGAGUAAUGUAUCGGAGCGUACCUUUCAGUGGGGGAUAACGUAGCGAAAGUUACGCUAAUACCGCAUAUUCUGUGAGCAGGAAAGCAGGGGAUCUUAGGACCUUGCGCUGAUUGAGCGGCCGAUAUCAGAGUAGCUAGUUGGUGAGGUAAAGGCUCACCAAGGCGACGAUCUGUAGCGGGUCUGAGAGGAUGAUCCGCCAAACGGGAACUGAGACACGGUCCAGACUCCUACGGGAGGCAGCAGUGGGGAAUUUUGGACAAUGGGCGCAAGCCUGAUCCAGCCAUGCCGCGUGAGUGAAGAAGGCCUUCGGGUUGUAAAGCUCUUUCAGCCGGGAAGAAAACGCAUGGGUUAAUACCCUGUGUGGAUGACGGUACCGGAAUAAGAAGCACCGGCUAACUACGUGCCAGCAGCCGCAGUAACAC